UGGACAUUCUAGAGAGAGAAAGAGAGACUUUCCACAUUUGUUUAGAAGCUAUUAGAAGAGAAUUCAGCUAAAAAGAAACCCUAAGGUUCCAACGAGGCCCCACAGCCCCAUUUAAACCAUUAGUGGAGGUUAAAGUCGAUUAGAGGUUCAACAAUAUCGAUCAGGAGGCAAUUGGAACCUAGGUCGAAGUGUCCAUGUAGUUUC